rnacentral:rRNA from 1 species
UACGAAGGGGGCUAGCGUUGUCCGGAUUUAUUGGGCGUAAAGAGCGUGUAGGCGGCUUGGCAAGUCCGCUGUGAAAACUCGAGGCUCAACCUCGAGACGUCGGUGGAAACUGCCUCGCUAGAGUCCGGAAGAGGAGAGUGGAAUUCCUGGUGUAGCGGUGAAAUGCGCAGAUAUCAGGAAGAACACCCGUGGCUAAGGCGGCUCUCUAGUACGGUACUGACGCUGAGACGCGAAAGCGUGGGGAGCGAACAGG